GGUGUUCAGUGACGAGAUCACGGAAUACAGCGCCAGGCAUGGCGCCUGAACCUAAUGAGGAAUAAUUCCAUGCUGCCUUCCUUCUGAACACAAU